rnacentral:misc_RNA from 1 species
AGCAGCCGCGGUAAUUCCAGCUCCAAUAGCGUAUAUUAAAGUUGUUGCAGUUAAAAAGCUCGUAGUUGAAUUUCGGGACCAAUUUGUUGGUCGUGCCUCGGUACGUACUGGUAUUAUUGGUUUCUCCCUUCUGAAGAACCUCGAUGCCAUUAAUUUGGUGUCGUGGGGAAUCAGGACUGUUACUUUGAAAAAUUAGAGUGUUUAAAGCAAGCAUACGCUUGAAUACAUUAGCAUGGAAUAAUGAAAUAGGACGUUUGAUUCUAUUUUGUUGGUUUCUAGGAUCGACGUAAUGAUUAAUAGGGAUAGUUGGGGGCAUUAGUAUUCAAUUGUCAGAGGUGAAAUUCUUGGAUUUAUUGAAGACUAACUACUGCGAAAGCAUUUGCCAAGGAUGUUUUCAUUAAUCAAGAACGAAAGUUAGGGGAUCGAAGACGAUCAGAUACCGUCGUAGUCUUAACCAUAAACUAUAGCCGACUAGGGAUCGGAUGAUGUUAAUUUUUAAUGUACUCAAUUCGGCGCCUUA